rnacentral:rRNA from 1 species
CAACCNGCCNGUUACCACGGCACAGCCCGUCGAAAGGCGGAUUAAUGCCGUAUGUGGUCCUUNGCGGGCAUCUAAUUAGGACUAAAGGUUCAGCGGUAACGGAUGGGGAUGCGUCCGAUUAGCUAGACGGCGGGGUAACGGCCCACCGUGGCGACGAUCGGUAGGGGUUCUGAGAGGAAGGUCCCCCACACUGGAACUGAGACACGGUCCAGACUCCUACGGGAGGCAGCAGUGAGGAAUAUUGGUCAAUGGGCGUAAGCCUGAACCAGCCAAGUAGCGUGAGGGAAGACUGCCCUAUGGGUUGUAAACCUCUUUUGUGCGGGGAUAAAGUGAGGGACGUGUCCCUUAUUGCAGGUACCGCACGAAUAAGGACCGGCUAAUUCCGUGCCAGCAGCCGCGGUAAUACGGAAGGNCGGGGCGUUAUCCGGGUUUAUUGGGUUUAAAGGGAGCGCAGGCCGUCCUUUAAGCGUGCUGUGAAAUGCCGCGGCUCAACCGUGGCACUGCAGCGCGAACUGGAGGACUUGAGUACGCACGAGGUANGCGGAAUUCGUGGUGUAGCGGUGAAAUGCUUAGAUAUCACGAAGAACUCCGAUUG